GAUGAACGCUGGCGGCGUGCCUAAUACAUGCAAGUCGAGCGAACGGACGAGAAGCUUGCUUUUCUGAUGUUAGCGGCGGACGGGUGAGUAACACGUGGAUAACCUACCUAUAAGACGGGGAUAACUUCGGGAAACCGGGGCUAAUACCGGAUAAUAUUUUGAACCGCAUGGUUCAAAAGUGAAAGACGGUCUUGCUGUCUCUUAUAGAUGGAUCCGCGCUGCAUUAGCUAGUUGGUAAGGUAACGGCUUACCAAGGCAACGAUGCAUAGCCGACCUGAGAGGGUGAUCGGCCACACUGGAACUGAGACACGGUCCAGACUCCUACGGGAGGCAGCAGUAGGGAAUCUUCCGCAAUGGGCGCAAGCCUGACGGAGCAACGCCGCGUGAGUGAUGAAGGUCUUCGGAUCGUAAAACUCUGUUAUUAGGGAAGAACAUAUGUGUAAGUAACUGUGCACAUCUUGACGGUACCUAAUCAGAAAGCCACGGCUAACUUCGUG
rnacentral:rRNA from 1 species